rnacentral:rRNA from 1 species
GUCUACAGCCAUACCACCCUGAAUGCGCCCGAUCUUGUCUGAUCUCGGAAGCUAAGCAGGGUCGGCCCUGGUUAGUACUUGGAUGGGAGAAAUAAACACAGCCUAGGCCGACCUUGCAGUGGGUC